ensembl:ncRNA C34D1.14 ncRNA
AGUGACUUAGAGAGUGAGAGUGAGAAGAAUGAAACAAAAAGAACAUGAUUUGAGAAGAGUGUCCGAGGGGCGAGAAGAGUGCAAACGCACUUGUUGCAUCGGAGACUAUCAAAGUGUUUCCGAAAAGAAAAAAAAAACAAACAGAGACAAAUAGGGAAAGGACAAAAGUUCGAAUGACUUAAAAAUGAAACUAUUUUUCUUUUGAA